ACUUGUUUGAUUUUGUGUUACAGAAGGAAAUUGAUGUGAGAGACUCAGCGGGAAAUAAUAAGGAGAAAUUCUUUAAACCAUAGACACAGCUCAGAAAGAAGUUCAAGGGCUGUAUAAGCCUUGGGAGCAAAGUCUGUUCCUCAACCAUCAUUGGAGGCACUAUGGACUGUACCUUGUCAGUGACACAUGGAGCUGACUCUGCUGCUGAAGGAUGUGGAGUUGCCUGCAGAGGCCAAAGGGGUCACCAUUGCUUUGGGAAGCAGGGCUGGAGCAAGCAGCAGACAACAGCAAUCAGAUGUGCUUGAAAGGGGCCCAACUUUGUUCAGAUACAGACACCACAGUGAAGGGAUCAAGUUUUGCAGGCCAAAGAAGACUUAUUCACUGUUGAAAAGGCUCCACAGGAGCACUAAUCAAAGACAGACUUUCAGCACAAGUUAGUCCAAAGUAUAGCAGCAGAAACUUCCAAUGCUUCCUGUGCCUUCAAAUACCUUUUUACUUGCUUGUACAUUUUGCUCCUGCUCCUUUUUUGUAAAAGAUCAUUAUUAACUGACUCGGUCACACACACACUUCAGUCUAAACUAUUUUUGGCAGCAAACAGGUCAUUAAGAUUAAAACUGCAACAGGUGAAAGGCACCUGUAUGUCUCCACACUAGCAUGUAGUCAUCCAUGAUUACUGGUGGUGAUUCUUGACUCCAUGGAGCUCUUGAGAGCCACAUUCAUCUGGCUCUUUGUACUUGAAGGCAUCAGGAAGCAGCAUUAUUCCCAAAGCAUCUUGCAAUUAUUCUUAGUUAUUGGUACGAUACCAGGUCUGCUGGGAUUUCAAGAAGGAUCAUCCUGCCUUGCCAUACAGGACCCUGGUCCUCCACAGAAUCCUCUCACCAGCUCUCAGUGCAACUACUGACAUGGAACACAGAACCAUCAAGUCUCUCCUGCACUGCCUUGCUGAUGGGGAACAAGUCCUUGCUCUCUACAAUUCCUGCCCCUGCCACCCUUGCCCUUUGCACAGCCACAUGUGCCCGGAUGGUUUUUGCUUCACAGCUCCUUCUGCUCCUUUAAAAUAAAUUACAUGGGGAAUGUUAGUGAUGCAAACUUGUUUAAACCUGAGUACACGGUUAAGUCAGCUUUGUAAUUAAUUGCCUCAUCACUGCAGUCACCCUUCAGGAAUGCUGUGCUGCUGGUUCAGAACCGAGUAAGAAAGGGCCAGAUCCCCAGCAGAGAUCGCCCAAAGAGAAUAAAAUGAUGAAGCUGCGCAGGAGGUCAGGUAUGACUCCCUGAGAUGAUGAAGAGGAAGUGGCAUCAUCAUGGGCCCACCAACAACCCAGUAUGCAGAGAUGGGCAUGAGGGUGCCAUGAGAGCAAUGCACCGCUGGCUUUGUCCCAGAGAAAGGAUUUGUUUCCCCAAGGCAUGGCCUUUGCAGUCAGCCCCCCCGGGUGCCGUGUCAUGGCAGGACUGCUUUCCACCAGGUCGGCUGCCUCAGAGCCUGCUGGGGCUCACACACAGAAGGGGAGACAGCAAGCAAGGAGCCCACUAGCAGCAUGUGAGAGCUAAUGGAAACAGCAUGGGACUGAAAAACAAGUCAUUGGAGGCCUGUCUAGAGACAGAUACGGAUGCUAUGGAGGCACAGAGGCAGCACCUCCUCCCUCAGGUACCUGCAGUAGGAACUAACAAAGUCAAAUGGGCUGGAGCUACAAAGCUCCAAUUACUGUGGUCUUCUUUCUACUCACAUCUAAAUGUGCCAAGGGUGAGUAUGUUCAGAAGGUGGUUUCACUGACACAAUUCCUCCUUGACACUGGGCACUCACAUACAUAUAAGUGAGGAGAAGGAAGGAAAAAGAGAACAAAUUUCUCAGAGUCACAAGUAAGUGAAGAGAGGGAGAAGAAAGAAGAAAACCAGUAAGUGAGAAAACAUAAGGUGGAGGGAGUUGUGCCUACAAGGGGAGAGCAGAGUGAUGAUGACAAGGAGUACCAGACUAAGAAGCAACCUGGACAACUUCUGGAUCAGUUCAUGGCCGUCUCUUCAGUCCUUAUACCUCUUAGAAGGCUUCUGUCCAUUAUGGAGGAAAAAAGGGCUGAUACAUGAUAGAUAGAUAGAUAGAUAGAUAGAUAGAUAGAUAGAUAGAUAGAUAGAUAGAUAGAUAGAUAGAUAUUUCAGAUAAGAGCUAUUCUUAAUAUUUGUGGCAACUUUUUAAUUGCUUCAUACAUUCAAAUUAAAUAACUACAUAGAGGAAAAGAUCAGACUCUGAAUUAAGGGCUAGGUGAAUGAUGGGGGUAGCAGAAACUUUAGCACAAGUCCUGCUCAGAGAGUAGCCCAGGACAUCCCUGUAUCUGCCAGUGACCACUGCAGCCCCUAGAUUUAACACCUCUUGUGAAGAGAAGAAAAUUUUGCAUGGAUUUCUGGGCAGACUUUGCACUGCUGAGGGGAAAUGGUGUGCUUUUGCCAGUUCUCCUACAAAGCUGUUAGCUAGUGCAGAGUCAUGGGUUCACAGACACCAUCAAGCAGCUCUUCUGAAGAGUUCUGUGGGGAAUUCUAACACCAGGAAAUAGAAAGGGCAAUCAAUGCCUAUAAUAAGAUGCACUCCAGCAAACUGGUCAUAAUUUUUCUCACUGGGCAGCAGAUGACUUAAAAGGCUCUUUUCCACCUCCAAUUUCUAUGAAUCUGCAAUCCUAUUAUUUAUAUUGUAUCUUGAGGGUUUUUUUCAGAGUAAAUGAUGUAAUUAUACCCUACACCAUAACAUCUCAGGUUCUGGUGUAAUAGAACUAAAUAUGUAAUUAUGUGGUUAGUAAAUGCUACAGUACAAAACUCAAAAUCUGUAUCCAUGUACUGUAGCUUCAUAAGAAGAAUUUGUUUCCUGUUCUGUACACAGCAGAUGUAAUGUAAUUAUUGCUAACUGAAAAGUAUCAGCAGACAUUCAUAUGAUACCAGCAAAAAAUGCCCCUCCAGCCAAUUCUUCAUUCAAACAUAUGAAAAUGAGAGAAAUCCCACAAUUCUAUCUUAUCAGUGAAGUCUAGGCACAUACAUUUGAUACUCUGCAAAAUCAAUACUUUCAGGCUUCUAGAUACAUGGAACACACAAAGUCUAUCCAUCCAUACAUGAAGGGAAGGAUCAGAUUCACCCCCGAUGUUAGUCCAGGCACUUCAGCUGGAUUACAAGACAGCAGAAGACAGCCCAUAAUGCAACUUGUGUGGAUUAUGGCUGGAAGAAAUAAAACUGGCCUCUGACAUUUAUACAACACUGUGUGACAAAAGGAAAACAACAUGAAAGGAACCGCAGCCUUGUGGUUAAGGAGCUAAUCCUGGACUUGGGAGAUACGGUUUCUACUCAGAGGUUUGCCACAAGUUUCACAUAUUAAAAGAAAAAAGGAAAAAGAAGAAAAAGGAAAAAGGAAAAAGGAAAAAGGAGAAGGAGAAGGAGAAGGAGAAGGAGAAGGAGAAGGAGAAGGAGAAGGAGAAGGAGAAGGAGAAGGAGAAGGAGAAGGAGAAGGAGAAGGAGAAGGAGAAGGAGAAGGAGAAGGAGACCUUUAUUGUGGGCCUUGCCUGCAAGAGGACACCUUACCAGUAAAAGGUGUGAUUUUGCACAGGCUACAAAUGUCCUUUAAUUUCCACUUAAAUACAAAUGUGAAAUGGGCCUAGCUGUACCAGGGGAAAGUCUUUUUACUAAAUAAUAACAAUACUAGUUUUCAAGAAAUAUUGGAAGAAUUGGGACAGCUUUAGCUUUAGAAAUGUUGGGAUUCCCAUUUGCCUGAGUGAGACAGCUUCGUGCUGGUUGAAUGGGAACCCUCUGGAUAGGGCCUUCAGCUGCAAAAUCAGGCAGUGAAGUGGGAGUCACCACUGAGCCACAUGUCCCCUUGCAGCUGCUCCAUGUUGGAGGCAUGACAUCUCUCCAGGUUUGUCAGGCACAAAAUGACAGAACCUAAAGAAGCACAAAUGUUGUUUUCCCAUAGAAACUCCACUUCAAUUAUCCAAGCAUAAAAAACCCUAUGAUACUUGAAAAGAGUGUUUUAUUUCUCGGCACACAUCCAUCAGGUUUCCAGCACUGAAUGUUGCCUUGCUCCUUAGAAGCAAUAUGCACCGUUCACCAAGGUGCUUUUCAUGAUGAUUUUUCAUUCAGUAUGAAUGAUACUUUUCAUUCACCAAGCCACCACACUGCUCAAGCUUGAAUACUGUGACAGAGCUCUGAACUCUGCUGUGUUCUUCUUCCAUCUCCACUCCUCUGCAAAUUUCCUAUUUGCCACAGGAGAAUAAAUAUCACACCAUCCCCACUGCUGGGUGACAGUUCCGUGCCUGGGUGCCUUACAGAACUCUACAGUUCUUCCUUGCCUUCUCUACAAUCAGUCAUGGAUUUUGCAUCAUACGACUGAACCACCAAGACAGAAAUUAACAUGGGUCUCUGUAAUGAUGUGUAGUUGCUUUCCUUUGAGUUGGAAUACUUGAUCAUAUUCUCCCACCCCAUAUUUGUGUCAUGCUAUUGGCACUGGAAGCAUUAGCUUUGUAGUCACAAUUAUAUGAGAACUAAGUAAACUACAGAAAUUUGUAAACUGUUGCAUUGCUAAAUUAAAUGCUGUUUUAACUAACAGUUAA